CAUGGAUCAGUUUCGCACCGGGGCCUCAUGGAUUGUGUGUACGCCACUGCACGCACACACACACACACACACUCACACAGACACUCACUGACAGACAUACACACACACACACUCACUGACAGACAUACACUCACUCAGACAUUCACUGACAGACAUUCACUCACUCACUGAGAGACACACACACACACACACACACACACAGAAACUUACUGACAGACAUACAUUCAUACAUAAACACUCACUGACAGACAUACACUCACUCAAUGACAGACACACACACACACCAACACACACUCACAGACACUCAUUCGCUGGCAGUCAAACACUCACUGACACAGACUCACACAAUUAAUUUUUUUUAGGCAAAUUCAGCCUCCCUAUCUCCCCGGGGUCCAGUGUGGGGUAGCUCCUCACUCCUCCCGCCUGCUGUUUAGUAUGCUGGGGCCGGAAUGACGUCAUAUUCUGGCUCCCGGCAUCACAGAGGGCACGCGAGGGAGGAGUGAGAGGCUUCAAGAACAGCCUCCCUCGCCGCUUGCCUUUUCCUGGCUCCUCCGUUCACUGGCAUUUGAAGCUGCCUGCUCUGCCAUACUGAAGGACAACUUAGGGGAUGCCCUGCCUCCUGGACCCCCUGUGACAGGGUACCCCCACCUUUGGGCGCCUGGAGUCGUCCAGCACUGCGGCCCAAGACAGGGGGGGUCCACCAGGAAAUAUCCCGGUAAGCGUCCCACCCCCGCCGGCCCUGACUACAGCAUUUUGGAUGUGAGCAUUAAUUCUCUUGAUAAGAGAUUUGAGCACCAUCACAGCAAGCACUUUCACUUUCUAAACAAUGUUCAAAAGCUUAUUGUAGGUGGUUUACUCCCCACCAAUGCCUUUCAACUAACAUAUUUCACCCAAAG